rnacentral:rRNA from 1 species
GAUGAACGCUAGCGGCAGGCUUAACACAUGCAAGUCGAGGGGUAGAAGGAGCUUGCUCCUUUGAGACCGGCGCACGGGUGCGUAACGCGUAUGCAACCUACCUUGAACAGGGGGAUAGCCCAGAGAAAUUUGGAUUAAUACCCCAUGGUGUAAUUGGAUGGCAUCGUUUGAUUACUAAAGUUCCAACGGUUCAAGAUGGGCAUGCGUCCCAUUAGCUAGAUGGUAAGGUAACGGCUUACCAUGGCAACGAUGGGUAGGGGUCCUGAGAGGGAGAUCCCCCACACCGGUACUGAGACACGGACCAGACUCCUACGGGAGGCAGCAGUGAGGAAUAUUGGUCAAUGGGCGCAAGCCUGAACCAGCCAUGCCGCGUGCAGGAUGAAGCAUCUAUGGUGUGUAAACUGCUUUUGUACGGGAAGAAACACUCUUUCGUGAAAGAGCUUGACGGUACCGUAAGAAUAAGGAUCGGCUAACUCCGUGCCAGCAGCCGCAGUAACAC